rnacentral:lncRNA from 1 species
GGAAGAAGGCGAGUAUCUUGGUCAGUCUUUUCUAAUUUAUUUAUUUUUUUUAGGCUGUUGCUGAGCUUUGUAAACCCAGAGGCUGAAACUUAGUGUUUCAAAUGCAUAUCUUAGCAAUGCUUUUUUGUUUUGUUUUUUUAAAACAACAACAACAACAACAAAAGCUCUGAUCUCCUCAUUGUUUUCUAUUUUGCUAGGGAUACAAAUAUAAGUACCUCUAGCCCCUAUGGCAUGCAAAAAAAUGAGUGUAACAACAAAUAUCAGAUAAUAGAAAAUGGUGGGUACUGAGGAACAGGUGAUCGUAUGGUUAACAUCUGUGCUAUAAGGGCUACUUCUAGAAUACUAUAAUGAAC